GCGAUGGAUUGCUGCAUUUUAUUGUUAUGAUAAACUGCCAUCAAGUUUUGAGUCUAUUAGUGGAACAAGUGCUUUAUUAAAUGUUGUCUUUUCCUUUUUUAAAAGAUGUUUAUUUAAUUUAAUUUUCAGUUUUCCACUACAGUUUUUUGUUAAUAUUUUACUUGGUUCGAAAUUUUUUUUCUAAUAGGUUUUAAUCUGCAAUAUAUAUGGAACUAUAAUGCCUAAAGUUUUAUAAAGUCUUUAUCUGCAGUGGAUAUCCUGGGGGAAAAGACUGAGUUUGAAGAUUCAUAAUUUUAUUAUGACAAAAUAAAUGAUAUAACAAGGUCAUUUUCAGCUCUGCUAAUAAUGUUUUGGAUUAAAUAAUCUCAAAAUUUGUUCUGCCAUUGUUUAAGAAAGCUGGAACUUAUAGAAAUAGAUCAAUUUGAAAAAACUUUAUUGAGUAGAGUAAUUAUAGGAACAUUAGUGUCACAUACAGCAAAAUUCUAUUUGGUCGAUAAGUUAAAAGGCAAUUGUUUGAAGAGAAAUAAUAGAAUAAAUAGCUUAAUAGAAUAGCAAAAAAAACUAUUAUGUUUUUGUAUGCUUAAAUUGUAAAUAAACACAAAAUGUUAAAA